AAAAGUAAUGUCGCACGCGUUAUCCAUUUCGACGCUUCUAAUUGGCUACAUUCUUGAACCCAUUUUAUAAUUUUAAGAGAGGCAUUAGUUGAUAUAUUGUAGUGGUGUUGGCGCGGGGAAGCACAUCACUAAUUUCGUUGCCGUAGGAGAGUCAAAACGAGUUUGAUAAUUUGUGCAAGUUGGAUCGAAAGGUGACGUCUAUACAACAUGUCUGACAAACCAACGUCUGGACCCAAAUAUAAUGAACCACAACGGCAUGGUUCCAGUGGCAGAUUUGGUCUGAUACCAUUCCGAGGAGUAGUCACUUUUGUGAUCAUCCCGUGGCUUUUAAUCAUGGUGUCCUUUUACAUCAUUGAGACAUUCUGGCGCGCAUAGGAUCACGGACAAGUUCAACCUGUGCGUGCCAACAGGAUCUAUAGCAUGACGACUCAAAGGAUGCUAUAUAUAGUAGUUCAAUUAUGUCAAUUAUGUGUUGUACCUAAAAUGUAUCCUUCUGAAUUGAACUAGAGUCGAUUUUAUUUUCCCAUAAUUAUUACGUGUUUAAUUUUUCUGUAUAAAAUGAUAUCUUUCAGAUCUCCAGAGUAAAUGAAAAAUGGUAGUCCAUCUUCA